CCCCUUUUUCUUUUACCGGCAUUUCAUCACCGCUACCGAGGUUAACGCAAAUAAGAGACCGGACUAGUCUAUUUAUCUCUUAUUUUCGAAUUAACGCUCCACAAAAACGCUAGUCAACAUGCCAGGAUAUUCCGACAGAGAUCGUGGCCGAGACAGGGACAGAGAUCGAGGUUACGGUGGCGGCCCUCAUCGUUUUGGUGGUGGCCGAGGCGGCGGCGGCGGCGGAGGAGGAGGAUCGAAGUUCGGCAACCCCGGUGACCGACUGCGAAAGAAACAUUGGAAUCUGGACGAGCUUCCAAAGUUUGAGAAGAACUUUUACCAGGAGCACCCGGACGUAACGAGGAGGCCUUUGCAAGAAGUUGAAAAUUAUAGAAGGACCAAAACCAUCACAGUGAAAGGGAGAAACUGCCCGAAUCCAAUUGUGAAUUUCCACGAAGCAAGCUUUCCAUCGUAUGUUAUGGAUGUCAUCAACAAGCAAAACUGGACAGACCCAACUCCCAUUCAGGCUCAGGGCUGGCCUUUAGCACUGAGUGGCAAUGACAUGGUUGGCAUCGCACAGACUGGUUCUGGCAAAACACUCUCAUAUCUGUUGCCUGCCAUCGUUCACAUCAACCACCAGCCUUUCCUGGAGCGCGGUGAUGGACCUAUUUGCUUGGUGCUGGCCCCAACUCGUGAGCUGGCCCAGCAGGUGCAACAGGUGGCUGCCGAGUAUGGCAGAGCUUCUCGCCUGAAGUCCACCUGUAUCUACGGAGGAGCCCCCAAGGGGCCGCAAAUUCGUGACCUUGAGCGAGGUGUUGAGAUCUGCAUCGCAACUCCAGGCAGGCUCAUCGACUUCCUUGAAGCAGGAAAGACCAACCUGCGCCGUUGCACCUACCUCGUAUUGGACGAGGCUGACAGAAUGCUGGACAUGGGAUUUGAACCACAGAUCAGGAAAAUUGUUGACCAGAUCAGACCUGAUCGUCAGACGCUGAUGUGGAGCGCCACCUGGCCAAAAGAGGUACGUCAGCUGGCUGAAGACUUUCUCAAAGACUACGUGCAAAUCAACGUUGGGGCCCUGCAACUCAGUGCAAACCACAACAUCCUUCAGAUUGUUGAUGUGUGCAAUGAUGGCGAGAAAGAGAACAAACUCAUUCGUUUGCUGGAGGAAAUUAUGAGCGAGAAGGAGAACAAGACUAUCAUUUUUGUAGAGACAAAGAGGCGAUGCGAUGACCUGACAAGAAGGAUGAGGCGAGACGGAUGGCCAGCAAUGGGAAUCCACGGAGAUAAGAGCCAGCAGGAGAGAGACUGGGUUCUUAAUGAAUUUAAAUAUGGAAAGGCUCCCAUUCUGAUUGCUACAGAUGUUGCAUCUCGUGGUCUAGGUCAGUAUCCUCCGUAAAGCACUGAAGUGUUUGAAUUUUUUUAGAGGAAAGUAUAUUGGCUUUCUUUAACUCUUCUGCUUCUCUCUGAGUCUCUCCCAUGGGCCAAAGGAGCAGUGUUUAUGGCAGGGCCUUGGCAUGACAAGCCCAGGUGUCCAGAGGGGGAAGGAGGAUUCUUGGAGAUGUCCUGACUGGCGAGGCACGGGUCUCCCAGUCGUGCACAUAAGCAGAGGUGUCAAGGUCCGAGUGCAACAUACAACGCGCUGGCCUAACUAAAAGCGGGGAAGGCCACAGUUCCUCCCCUCCAUGCUCGACUGUUCUCUGGCAACGGUUUGGACUGUGUCACACACCCAGGCUCUGUAACUGUCCCAGCUGAAAGCCCCGUCGCGUUGUCUGGACAAAAGCGAGUCCCGGGUCAUUCCUAAGGUGCUUUCGGUUGCGUAGGCCUGUUGUAAAGCAUGGGUGGCGUCGCUGUUGCAGUUCAACUUGCGUCGGACGAGCAGCUUGUAAGAUCGAUUGGAAUAUCACCUCUGCAGUAACAUGGCUACUGGCGCUAUAGGUGACAGUGGGACAUGCUAGUUGGACAAAUUCCAAGCUCACACUCCUCCCUCGCCUGCGUUAGAAAAGUCAUGUCGAGACCUGCCAACGAGAGACUGUGUGAUCACUGGGAUAAACUUGGCCCUGGCGACUGGGGUGCGCUGUUUGUAGGCAUCCUGCAAACCAGUUCACAUCUCCACUUUGUUGGCUAGAGACUGCCUAUGAACUUAGUAACCUCACCAGUGUACGUUGACAAAUGGACAUUGAGUCAAUCACUGACACUAGGAGGCAGUAGUGAGCAUAGUAGCCCUACUGUGUAGACAAUGUUGGGGGGGUGCGCUGCGAUGGGAACGGACUAGUGAAUGCACGCUCCAAUGAUGGAUGUUGAGGACGUGAAAUUUGUCAUCAACUUUGACUACCCCAACAACUCUGAGGACUAUAUCCACCGCAUUGGCAGAACGGCCCGUAGCCAA